rnacentral:rRNA from 1 species
UACGAAGGGGGCUAGCGUUGUUCGGAAUUACUGGGCGUAAAGCGCACGUAGGCGGAUUGCUAAGUCAGGGGUGAAAUCCCGGGGCUCAACCUCGGAACUGCCUUUGAUACUGACAAUCUCGAGUCCGGAAGAGGUGGGCGGAAUUCCUAGUGUAGAGGUGAAAUUCGUAGAUAUUAGGAAGAACACCAGUGGCGAAGGCGGCCCACUGGUCCGGUACUGACGCUGAGGUGCGAAAGCGUGGGGAGCAAACAGG